rnacentral:rRNA from 1 species
UACAGAGGUCUCAAGCGUUGUUCGGAUUCAUUGGGCGUAAAGGGUGCGUAGGCGGCGCGGUAAGUCGGGGGUGAAAUCUCGGAGCUUAACUCCGAAACUGCAUUCGAUACUGCCGUGCUUGAGGACUGGAGAGGAGACUGGAAUUUACGGUGUAGCGGUGAAAUGCGUAGAUAUCGUAAGGAAGACCAGUGGCGAAGGCGGGUCUCUGGACAGUUCCUGACGCUGAGACGCGAAAGCCAGGGGAGCGAACGGG